UACGAGUGCCCCAAGCGUUAUCCGGAAUCACUGGGCGUAAAGCGUCUGUAGGGGGUUUUAAUAGUCUUGUGUUAAAUUUUGGGGCCCAACCCCAGAGCUGCGCAGGAAACGUUAAAACUAGAGGGUGCAAGAGGCUGAUAGAACCUAUGGUGUAGGGGUGAAAUCCGUUGAUAUCAUAGGGAAUACCAAAGGCGAAGGCAUUCAGCUAGUGCACUCCUGACCCUGAGAGACGAAAGCGUGGGGAG
rnacentral:rRNA from 1 species